AUACGGAGGACGCGAGCGUUAUCCGGAUUCAUUGGGUUUAAAGGGUGCGCAGGCGGCCGUGCAAGUCAGCGGUGAAAGCCCGGGGCUCAACCCCGGAAGUGCCGUUGAUACUGCAUGGCUGGAAUGCGGUCGAGGCGGGCGGAACGUGGCGGGUUGAGGUGAAAUGCGUAGAUAUGCCACAGAACGCCGAUAGCGGAGGCAGCUCGCCAGGCCUGCAUUGACGCUCGGGCACGAAAGCGUGGGGAUCGAACAGGAUUAGAUACCCUGGUAGUCCACGCCGUAAACGAUGGGCGCUCGUCGUCGGCGGCAGACAGUCGGCGGCCAAGCGAAAGCGAUAAGCGCCCCACCUGGGGAGUACGGUCGCAAGGCUGAAACUCAAAUGAAUUGACGGGG
rnacentral:rRNA from 1 species